GAGGUUGGCAAAAGAACGGGCGACACUAAUAGGAAACAAGCUUUUCAAAUUGCUGCACCCAGAAAUAGAUAUAAAUUGAAGACUAGGGAAGGAUAUAGGUUGGAGAUGACUCUGUGAUGAUGAUGCUAUUGAAGUUUGGUCCAUUUCAAUGAUUUCUUCCAACUCCUCACAACACUUUAUUUUCAAAACUUUCAAUUGCGGCAUAUUUGGAGCAAGCAUAGAAGAGAAGAGAGAUUUCAGCCUUUUACAACUUGACACUUUUAAGUCUUUAAGAUAAGGAAGGCUUGCAACUUGUAUGGGACCCUGCAACUGAUGUAUACCCUUUAGAUUUAAAAUCUCUAUCUUUGAGAACAAGUGUCCGCCUUGAAUUUGAAAUAUAUUCUCCCAAUUAAUAGUGUCACACACAUUGUCUUGUCCCAACUCAGAGAAUCGUAACUCCUGUAUAAAUAUAAAAAUAUCAUAAUUUCAUUAAAAUUUGAAUAAAUUACAAUGGUCAAAUAAUAUAUGACUUCAAAAGUACAAAAUCUAAUAUAUAUAUAAGUACGUUUAUGUGAGUAACUUCUAUUUAUGACAUGUAGGAUAAUGUUUAUAUUAUUAUAUUAUUUAUCAAAUAACUCUAUUUAAUAAAUUAUUUAAAUUUAAUAUUUUUGAAUAAUUAUUUAAAUUCAAAUCAAAAUCUAUAGAAAAAAUUUUUGCAUAAAUUUUAAAUUCAAAUAUAUUAAAUUAUAAUUUAUUUUUUCUUUUUAAAUUAAUCAUAGUUCCAAAAAUAUAUAUGUAUUUAUAUGGUUAAUAUAUUUUUAUCUACCAUCAAAUAAUUCUAUUUAAUAAAUUAUCUAAAUUUAAUAUUUUUGGAUAACUAUUUAAAUUCAAAUCAAACUCUAACAAAAGUUGAAAAUUUUGCAUAAGUUUUGCAUUUAAAUGUAUUAAAUCAUAAUUUUUUUUUAAAAUUUAAUCAUAAUAUAUAUAUAUAUAUAUAUACACACACUUAAUACAUUUUUAUUUGAUGAAAUCAGAAUCUAAAAUUGAAAAUAAAGAGUUUAUAAAGUGAGAGGUCACCUUCUAACCAAGCUUAUUUUAUUUAUUGUUAUUAGAAUUGGAAAUUGAAGAAUACAAGCCUUUUUUUUUUUACUUGACAGUUAUGAUUUAUUGGUUUUGAUGGGAAUGGACAAAAGUUGGAAAGAAGAGUAAACCACAUCAUACCGUGAACAAGUUCAUUUUUGCCUUUAUUAUUCUCUUUUUUCUUUUAUUUUCUUUUUUAUUUGCAAAAAUCAAUAUGUGAUGGUGUUGGAUUGUUUUUACUUUUGUAUAUUUUUUGCUUAAAUGACAUUGAUUUUUUUUAUGAAAUUUCAAUAAUGGAAAGAAAACAUACGUACAUUUGGAUUGAUUUCAACUUGGUAAUAGGUAUAGUUCAUUACUUUUUUUCGUAUUUUAUUUUUUUUUAUUUCCUCCAUUUGUUUGUUCCUUCAAAUUAUUUAUUUGGUCUUAUUUCUAUUAUAUGAUAUAUACAUUUGAUUUGAUUUAUUCUAAAAAAAUUUUUAUUUAUAUAUUUUUAUAUAUUUAGUUAAGUUGGAUAUUUGUUACACAUAAGUUCAAGAGAUUUCAAUUGUAUAUGCAUUCUCAAUUUGUAUAUUUGAUUUUUUAUUAUAAACGUAUCUUUGACUUAUGUUUUAAUAAAAGCAAAUAUAUGUGUUGAAGUAUGUAAAAAAUAAAAACUAAUAAAAAGCAAAUGGCUAUGAACAAAUUAAUAAUUAUAUAUGCUUUAUUGUUCAAUCAAAUAUAUAUAUAAAAGAAAUUAUUAUUAUUUGAUGUUUUAUUUUUGGUUCGGGUUUAUAAGAUUUAAUAGUUUAUGAAUAUUCUAUUAAUAUAAAUGUCUUUUACAAUUUAAUAAAAUGAUUUUUUUUAUAUCCAUAUUAAUAUUAUCAUAAAAAAAUUAUUAAUUUUGACUAUUAAAAGACUUACCCUUGCUUUUUUUAUCAAAAAAUAAAUAAUUAGUAACAAAAUUUUUGGUGUUUAGCAAAUAAAUAAAAAAAUUAAUAUUUUGAUAAAAAAGAAAGGAUUUUUGAAAUUUUGUAAAAAAUUAAACUUAAAACGACAAUAUGUGAAUGCUAUCAUUUAAUCGUAUCUUAAAAUUUAUGAAUGUAUGAUUAUAUAUAGUUGAUUAAUAAAAGUUUAAAUAUUCUUUUAUUAAGGAAAUAUAAAAAAUUAAAGUUAAUUAAAAAAUAAAUUUCAAUUAUGAAAAUAAUAACACGGUUAAAAAAGCUAGUAUAUAUGUAAAACAAAUACCAUUCUCAAGAUUUUAUUAUAAUGUACAAAUUAAAUAUGUUUAAUUGAUUUUCAAAUUCUAUUUAUUUUAUAAGCAAGUGAAAUGUUAUCUAAAAGUUCUCUAUGAGUGCCAUGUCAUCAAAGUUUGCCUAUAUGUAUGCAUGCCAGCAGUUUGAAUUCCCAUCCAAAUUGGAUUUCAUUAAAUUAAAAUAGUAGGAUGGCUAAAUUACACACAAUAAUAAUGUAAGGGCUUAAGUGAAAAUUUGAUUAUAAUAUGGUUAGAGAGCUUAUUUUAUUAUUUUGCCAUUACUUAACAAGGUUUUUUUUUUUUUUUAAAUAACAAACAAGUUAACUCAGUCUUGAAUGAGUUGAACAUAAAAUAUUGUUAAAGAUGAGAGUUCAACAUAAGUCUUGAAUGAUUUAUUUUAAUUUUUCUAAUAUAAAACUUACAUAAGAACCCCUUUUUGAAAAGAGAUUCAAAACAUUGAUUAUUUUAUGAGUAUAGAAAAGAUUUGGGCCAAAGGUAAAAUCUCAAACCAUAAUGUAAGGAAAGGAGUAUAAAGUUACCUUUAGUUGAAGCCGUUUGUGGACUACUUGUUGAAUAAUGAACUUUGCAAAUCGAGGACAAACCACUAUGGUUAACUUAUCCAAUGAUGGUGGCAGAAUGGCAUUAUCAACUCCAUUAUUUUCUUUUGCCACAUUGAAGACAUAUUGUAGUCUUGGACAACCAUGUAUUUCAAGAGAUGUCAAUUUUGGCAAGGGCGGAGGAUGGAGAAAGCCACUGUCUGAUUCUAUAUUAUCAUCAAUUUCCAACUCAGUGGCAAUAUGUUCCAGUUCAUCGCAGUACCCUAUCUGGAGUUGUUCUAGCAUCACCAAGCUUUGAACAAGUGAUUGUGAGAAGAGAUAUUUCAAUUUAUUGCAGCCACUAAUUACUGCAACCUUCAGACUUUGGAGGCAGACAGAAUGGUUGGGCCCUUUACAUAUCCACUUCAAUUCUGGUAAUAGCUCUAGCUCCAAACUUGUUAAAUUUGGCAGCAGCGGAACGGUUGAGACAUGGCCUUGGUCUGUUGUAUCAAUCAAGCAUUCCAGCUCUUUCUCAUCUCUAAGUGUAAGAAAAGUUAAUUCAUUUAGUCCCUGUGGAUCUACGCUUGGAAUGAGAUUUUUGUGAUACAUGAUUCCAUCCAUGGCAAGUUUUCUGACAUCCUGAUAAAUUCACAAUAUAAUGAAAAAUAGCAGCAACAUUAGAAACAUAUAAUUAGAUUUCUUUUAUUAGGAAAGAGAAAGAUUUGAGUUAAAAGAAUAUUUUUAUUCCUCGCUUUUCACUAAAAGUUUGUUAUUGUAGAAAUUUAAAUAAUUCAAAUUAAACUAAAUGUAACUACUGCUUAAAAAGCAAGGAUAGUGACAAAUAAUACAAGUACGAUACGACAUGGAUAUGACAAAUAAACAAUUUUAAAAAUAGAAAACACUGAUAUGGUAAAACAUGACAAUAAAAUACAUUUUUUAUCCAUAAAUUUUUUAUAAUAAUAUAAAUUGAACACAAUUAUAAAAUAAUUAAUGGUAUGUGUAAAAGUAAAAUAAAAUAAAUUUAUAAACAAGAUUAAAAUUAUAUAGGAAAAAAUAAUGAAUAUAAUUAUAAUUUUUUAAUUUAAUUUUUAAUACUAAUAAAUUAUAAAAUUUUAAACCUUUUAAAUAGUUUCAUUUUUCCUUUUUUUCUUUUCUUUUCUUUUUUUUCCUUCUUUUUCUUUUUCUUCGUACAUUUUCUUCUUUUUCUUUUCUCUCUUUUUCAUCCCAUUUCUUCUUUUUUUUUUCUUUCAUUUUUCCCUUUUUCCCUUCCCCAAAUCAUACGAUUUAUAAGCUUUAUAAAUUCAAUAAUAGUAGUUAUUGAGUAAUAUUUUAUUAUGUACAGAAUUAAAAAGAGAAAAAAAUACAAAGAUUUUAUAAAGUGUGUUAAUAGAGAAAAAAAUAUGUAGUGCUAGUUUUUCUCAACCUGCAAACCAUGUAAUAAGUAUACAUUUAAUCAACCUUUUUUCUUUUAAACAUCAACAGAAGCUAAUUAUAUAUAAUACUUUUACAUUUAAGUGUGAAUGUACUGAAUUUUGAUGUUUGUGUUAUAAGAUAAGUAAUUCAAUUAAUUAUUACCAAAAUAAACAAAAUUAAAACAAAAUUAUAGUAUAAGAGAAGUACCUUUAAAUUGGCCUGCAACGUCUUAAACUCAGUUAAUUGGGGACAACUGAAAACUUCGAACAUCUUCAAAGAUAAUGACAUGACAAAAUUUUCUGGACAAAAACUACUCAACUUCUCUAAAUUUUUAAGCCUUAAAAAUUGCAAUCUCUGUAGCACAAUGUCUUGUGGUGGACGUCCACCCUUGUCCUUUGUCAUAUUGAAGACCUGCUUUAGUUGAGAACAAUCAGUUAUCUCAACAGAUUCCAAAUAAGGAAGUCCUUGAGCCAAAGUGAUUGGAAACACAUAAUUCAAUCUUUCGCAAUUAAUUAUCUUGAGAGUUCUCAACUUAGGCCAGCGGAGAGGAUAGCCAUCCACGUUUGAAACUAUUUGAUCCUCAUUUUCUGCUUCUCCGAAGAUUACAUGUUCCAAAAAGCCGCAAUCUUUUAUGUCGAGUUCUUCUAGAUGCUCCAAACUUUGAGCAAGGGGAGUUGAAAAGAGAUAUGCCAGUUUCGCACAUUCCCAUAUUCUCAUAGUCUUAAGACUUUGGAGGUUAACAAGAUGGGUGGGCCCUUUCCAUAUCCACUGUAGUUCUGGUAAUAACUUUAGCUCCAAAAAGGUUAAAUUAGAGAGUGGUCGUACCUGACAUGAAUUAAUUGAUUGAAAAGGUAAAUAAAUAUAGAAAAAGCAUUACGUACAAAGGCAAUAAUAGUAGUUAUUGAAUAAUAUAUUUUUACAUAAAGAACAAAAAAAGAGAAAAAAAUACAAAUAUUUUAUAAAUUGUGUUAAUAAAAAGAAAAAAAGGUAUAUAAUAUUAGCUUUUUCAACUUACAAGUCAUGUAAUAAGUAUAAAUUUAAUUUAUUUACUAAUAUAAUUUAAUUAAACUUUAUUUCUUUUAAACUUCAAUAGAGGUUAAUUAUAUGAUAAUAUAUAAAGUUUAAUUAUUUCUCAUUAUUCAUUAAAGGAGAAAUGGAGAGAGAACAAGUACCUCAAGCUCAUCCAUUUCAUGGGGAAAAUCAAUGAUUUGCUCUAAUCCCUCACAGGCACAUAUAGAGAGUUCUUGUAGAUGCAACAAACUCUGAGCAAGGCAAGGCGGGAAGAUCGCUUUCAAUUCAUCACACCUCCGAAUGUUUACAACCUUCAGACUUCGGAGGCUUGCAUGAUAUUGAUGGGUUGAUUGUGAUUUCCAUAUACUCUCCAAUUCUGGUAAAGAAGAUAGAUCCAAACUUGUUAAAUUUGAGAGUAGCGGCGUCUGACUAAUUUCUUCCUUUUCAAGAAGCCCAUCCAUUUCAAAUACCACUUUCAACCGCUUACAAUAUCGAAUGGUCAAAUCUUUUAACUUUUGUAAGAACCUAAUAUGCCCAUGUAUUUCAAGAGAUGUCAAUUUUGGCAAGGGCGGAUGAUGGAGAAGGCCACUGUCUGAUUCUACAUUAGUAUCAAUUUCCAACUCAGUGGCAAUGUGUUCCAGUUCAUCGCAGUGUUUUAUCUUGAGUUUUUCUAGCAUUACCAAGCUUUGAACAAGUGAUGGUGAGAAGAGAUGUUUCAAAUUGUGAUACAUGAAUCCAUCCAUGGUAAGUUCUUUGACAUUGCAUAACAAUUCCUUGAAACCAUAUGAUGGGACAUCCUGAUAAAUUCACAAUAUAAUGGAAACUAUUAGCAGAAUUAGAAACAUAUAAUUGGAUUUCUUUUAUUAGGAAAAAGAAAGAUUUGAGUUAAAAGAAUAUUUUUAUCUUUCGCUUUUCAUUAAAAAUUCAUUAUUAUAGAAAUUUUAACAAUCCAAAUUAAAUUGAGUAUAACUAGAACCUAGAAAGCAUGAAUAGUGACAAAUAAUAUAGUUAAGACACGACAUGGACACGGCAACACAACAAUUAUAAAAAGAGAGGACACGGGUAGGUAAGACACUACAAUAAAAUAUAUUUUUAUAUAUUUUUUAUCCAUAAAUUUUUUAUAUGAAUAUAAAUUGAAUACAAUUACAAUGUAAUGAAUGAUGUGUGUAAAAGUAAAAUAAAUUAAAUUUAUAAACAAGAUUAAAAUUAUGUAGGAAAAAAUAAUCAAUAUAAUUAAUUUUAUUAAUUUAAUUUUUAAUACAAUAGAUUAUAAAAUUAUAAACUUUUUAAAUAAUUUCAUUUUCCUUUUUUUUUCUUUUCUUUUUUUUUCCUUCUUUUCCUUUCUCUUUCUACAUUUUCUUUUUUUUUCCUUGUCUUUCUCUUUCUCCUUCCUGUUUCCUUUUUUAAUUUUUAAUUUUUUUUUGUUUUUUCGUUUUUACCCUUUAUCAAAUUGUACGAUUUAAGAUCUUUAUAAAUUCAAUACUAGUUGUUGUAGAAUAUUAUUUUAUUAUAUAAAGAAUAAAAAAGAGAAAAAAAUACAAAGAUUUUAUAAUGUGUGUUAAUAAAGAGAAAAAAAGAUACAGUGUUAGUUUUCUCAACCUGCAAGUCAUGUAAUAAAUAUACAUUGAAUUAAACUUUUUUCUUUUAAACAUCAACAGAAGCUAAUUAUAUAUAAAUACUAUAUAAUACUUUUACAUGUAGAUGUGAAUGUACUAAAUUUUGAUGUUUGUGUUAUAAGAUAAAUAAUUCAAUUAAUUAUUACCAAAAUAAACAAAAUUAAAACAAAAAUAUAGUAUAAGAAAAGUACCUUUAAAUGGGCCUGCAACGUCUUGAACUCUGUUAAUUGAGGACAAUUGCAAACUUCGAACGCCUUCAAAGAUAAUGACAUGACAAAAUUUUCUGGACAAAAACUACUCAACUUCUCUAAAUUUUUAAGUCUUAAAAUUUGCAAUCUCUGUAGCACAAUGUCUUGCGGUGGACGUCCAUCCUUAUCCUUUGUCAUAUUGAAGACCUCAUUUUCUGCUUCAUCAAAGAUUACAUGUUCCAAAGAAUCGCAAUGGCUUAUUUGGAGUACUUCCAGAUGCAUCAAACUUUGAGCCAGGGGAGUCGAAAAUAGAUAAGCCAGUUUCAAACACCCCUCUAUUCUCAUAGUCUUAAGACUUUGGAGGUUAACAAGAUGGGUGGGCCCUUUCCAUAUCCACUUCAAUUCGGGUAAUGACUUUAGCUCCAAAGAAGUUAAAUUAGAGAGUGGUCGUACCUGACAUGAAUUCAUUGAUUGAAAAUGCAAAUAAAUAUGGACAAAACAUUAUAUACAAAGGUAAUAAUAGUAGUUAUUGAAUAAUAUAUAAUUUAAUAAAGAAUAAAAAAAGGACAAAAAAUACAAUGAUUUUAUAAAGAGAAAAAAAAUAUAUAUAAUGUUAGUUUUCUCAACUUGCAAGUCAUGUAAUAAAUAUACAUUUAGAUUAGUUACUAAUAUAAUUUAAUUAAACUUUAUCUCUUCUAAUCUUCAAUAGAAGUUAAUUAUAUGAGCAAUAUAUAAAGUUUAGCAAUUUCUCAUUAUCCAUUAAAGGAAAAAUGGAGAGAAAACAGAUACCUCAAGCUCUCCCACUUCUUGGGGAGGAAAAUCAAAGACUUGUUCUAUUCUAUCGCACUCAGAUAUUUCAAGUACUUGUAGAUGCAACAAACUUUGAGCAAGGCAAGGCGGGAAGAUGGAUUUCAAUUCACUGCACUUCCGAAUGGUUGCAAUCUUUAGACUUUGGAGGCUUGCAUUUAGACCCUCGGGAUCUACGAUGUGGACAAUAUUUUUGUGUCCCAUGGCAUUCUCCAGAGCAAAAAUUUCCACAUUGCAAAACAACUCCUUGUAUGCACUAAAUGAAGUUGGGUCAAUAAUUUGCAAGGCUCUAAAGUUUGGCCCCCGCAUAAAUUCAACACUUGCAUCUACAAAUAUAAUGUAGCUUUGUAGUUUAGGGAACACAAAGUUUUCUGGAAAACAUCGAGUAGGAGAAACCUUCAGUGACAGCACAGUCAAACGAGACAAUGAAUUCAGCUCCGAUAAGUUGACAUUGUUUUCACAUAUCACGUAUAGUUCUUGGAGUGAUGUCAACCUAUUUGUUACACACAAAUACGAAAAAGUAUUAUCAAACACUUAAAAGUGAAUCAUAAAAAUAGAAGUAAACAUAAAUUAAUUUUAAUUAUCUCAGCAAAUAUAGCAUGAUUCUUCAGCCCCUUUUCUUAUAAAAAAAGGUUUGAGCAUUUUUUUGCUGUUUUGUAAUUCAUGUGACAAUCAUGUUAUAUAAUAGCAUUUCUUUUUAAUGGAAAUGACUACAGCUCUGAAUGCUUCAUGAUAACGGGAGUGACCAAAAGCUUAAGGUAGAUAUUUUUCCCAUAGUCUAAAGUCAAAUUAUUUAAUAAAGUAAAUAAAAGAAAAAUAAAUAACAUAAAACUAAAUUCUUAAUUUUUGGCAAUAUGAUUAAAUAAAAUAAUUGACAUCUACUAUUACCUUGACAGUAAAUUAGGGGGAAAAUUGAUCUCUUUUCUUCCAGAGGAAAAAAAAUGUAGCGAUUUUAGGCCACGCAAUGCCGCUAAUUCUUCAGGUAGCUCAUAAAUAUUAGUAUUAGAGAAUGCAAGAAUCUCAAGGUUUUUCAAAUUUCCCACUGAUGAGAUGUUCUCCAACUCGCAAUUUACAAGGCACAGAGUUCGAAGAUUUGUUACCAAAUUAAGUACUUCUAGUGAGAAAAUGACAUUUUCGAGAUGCAAAACUCGGAGGGCUUUCAUUCCUUCAACAAAUGCAAUCGGAACUUUCACUAAAGUCUUUCCUGUAAAAAUCAAAAUUUUGAGUUCUGGAAAUUCUAAUUUUUCAGGAAAAAUAUUUAUGUUGCUGUUCCUAAAGGAGAUUGCUGUAUGAGAUCCACAACUUUCACUUGGAGGCCAUUCCAUCAACCACUCUUUUACCAUGAAUAUAUUUUUCCCUGUAGAUGUUAUCCAAUGAGCAAAAUCACGAACCACGUCAUGCAUCCUUACAUAUCUUUCAUCAUCAUCAUCAUCAGUUCUCAAUAACAAACCAGACUUCUGGAGGCUUCUUAGUGCUUGACGAAUUUCUCUCCGCAAGUCUUCAAUUAAGAAAAUAUGAGAAAAUAAUCCAUGACCAAUUGCAAACAUAACCAACUCCUCAAUCUCGAUACCCCAAUCUUCUGGAAAAAGGGAACACAGCAAGAAACAUGUUCGAAUAUUAUCUCUCUUCAAAUAAUCAUAACUCAGCUUAAGGCAGUUGUAGAUGUCUUCAGAAACGUCUUCAUUGUCUAAAUGUCUUGAGUCCUUGAGUCGCUUAUUUGCUGCUUGCCACCCAUCUAGAUUUGCUCCUUUUAAAGCUUUUCCGAUUGUUUCAAUUGCAAGAGGCAAACCCUUGCAUUCACUAGCAACCUCCUUGGCUACAUCAUUCAAUUCCGAAGAAACAUCAUUUAGACCAGCAGUAUCUUUGAACAAAACCCAUGCUUCACUUUCGGAUAAGAUGUGAAGUUCAAAUUUCUGUUGACAAUUCAUACGAACACAGACUUGUUCAAGACGUGUGGUCAGAAGAACUUUGCAACCUCCGCGUUCAACUCCGAAUGGAAUACCUACAGUCUGCAAUUUAAACUCCUUCCAAACAUCAUCGAUAAUUAUGAGGAUCUUCUCCGCGCCUUGCAAUCUCUGGCAUAGCUCUCCUGCUUUUCCUUCUUCCGUGCUUGCUUUAAAUUUCAAACCUAAUAAUUCUGCAAAUUUAUCUUGAAUUUUGUUGAUGUUUGGCGUUUGGGACAUUGUAGCCAUCACAACUCUGUCAAAGAGCUCUUUCACUUCAGCAUGCUUCCCAACUUCUUUUGCCAAAGUUGUUUUGCCCACCCCUGGCAUUCCAUACAAUCCAAUCAUGUUCACACCAUUAGUGUUUAGAGCCUUGAUGAUGUCAUUUAACGUUGAAUUUGAAGAUUUAGAAGGCAUGAAAUCCUCAGAUGGGAAGAAUUCUAUCCCCUGAAGAGGUUCAAAGUGGCCCACCCGUGGAAAGUUACAACUCUCAAGAAGUUUAUUGAUAGAGAUCGUCUUCUUUGCCACUUUCUUACUUAAGCAUAAUCGCCAACCCCAACUUGGACACCAAUUGAAACACUUCAUACGUUCUAUUUCAGCUUCCAAACACUGGGUUUCUUCAAGUUCUUUCUCUGCCCUUUUUCGCCAGUCUUGGACAUCCUUCUCAAUUACCUCAUUUUGCCUUGUAGCCUCUUCGACAUCAUUUUUUAUCCGAUCACUUUUCAAUUCAAGUUCAUUUCUCCGAUUCUUGAAUUCUUCAACAAUUUUCCCAAAUCGGAAAAAGUAACUAACAUAAGGUGAUGCAUAUUCUGUUGUAAGGUUUCCUACAGCAUUGGCAGCAGCAGAGGCAGCAAAUUCAGCAGCCAUUCUUUGAUGAUCUGAGAUUGAAAAACAACUUUAAUGAUUAGUAAACAUAUAAACUGUUGGAAAAAUCAACACGCACACGCAAAACCUAUACACAAAAUAGCAAGCUCAAAUUAAGAAUAAAAAUACACAAAUAUAUUUGUUUCAGUCCAACUCAAGAUCGUCUACUCCAAACCUAAUUUACUAACAAAUAAAAAAAAAUCUAUAGGUAUUGAUUGUUGAGUAAUUGAUAUGUUAUGAUGUAUGUUUGUAAUUCUCUAUAACUAGUAAAUUUUGUGUCUUAUCCAUGAACGUAAAUCAGUUGGAUCGAACUACGUUAAAUUAUUAUAUUAAAUUAUUAUCUUUUGUGUAUUUAAUUAAUUAUUUGAUUUCGUUUCUGCUGACGUGAUUAGAUUGAGACCUUUUGGCCUAACAUAAACAGCUAGAGAGACAAAAGAAAUUGUGAAUGUUUGCAAAGUACCUUAAUUACUUUGAGAGCUAAUUGUAAAGUAGAAGAGAAAAUUUGUUGAUGGAUCAACUUGGAAAUUGAAAAUUCUGCAAAUGGAAGAAAUUAUUCAGUGUUCAUGCGUAUAUUAAGAAUAUAUGUUACAUGUGUUAAGAGUAAAGGCAGUAUAUAUUUUGAUCAUUAAUCCAUCUAAUAUUUUCUCAAUUUUUAAAUAAAUCCAUUUAUUUCUUUUUUUUUUGCCUUAUAAGUGCAGUCUUUUAUUUAAAUAAGGUAGGGAAACAAACAAGUAAACAACUUUUGAGCAUAUAAAAAAUUAUGGAAAUAAAAAUAAUUAUUCAAGCAUGCCAAAUUGGGGAUGGGCAUUCUAAAUUAAGCUGUGAGAAUUUUUUACAUCAUCAACCUUAAUAGAAAUUAAAAGAAAAAGGAAAUAAAGAUUAGUAACAAUAAGAUUAUAAGAACAUGGAAUUUUUUUUCUAUUUUUUUGAAGUUAAACGCAAAUGAGAAUAGAUAUAGCAUGAAAUAAAAUAGAAAAUAGAACUCAAGGAAACCACAAAAUUAUACGGCAAUACUAUUUUUGCUUCUUUUAUUGUAGAGAGAAAAACACAAGAAAAAAAAAAAAAGAGACAAAUAUACCUAGGACAUAUGAAUUUUCAGGAUUCAAGAUCGAGCUUUUUAUUUCUAUCCACACAGUUUUUAUUUUAUUUUAUUUUAUUUUUUUGAGUUCAAAGAAAACUUAAGUAGAAACCAACCUUAUUUGAAAUGAGCAAAAGAGUUUCAAAGUUGUGCUUGAAAUUUUCGUGACUGAUUGAAACCACAGAGAAAAGUUUGAUCAAAGACUUGUUUAAUUUCUUUGGAUUCUCUUUUAUCACCGUUAUUAUCAUUUUACUUGCUCAAAUCCUUAGUGAAAGACAGCUGGACAAGGGCCCAAGCAUCUUUUCCUUUUGUUGGGAGUCGGGUGCAAUGCCUUCAAGUCACACGUUUACUUUUUCUUUUUUGUGCUCGGUUAAUUUUUUUUUUCCUCGAAGAAAACUGAUCUAUUGAUGGUAGUGGGACAUGGCGUCAUUGAUGCACUUUUGAAUUAUGGACCCUUGUUUUUGUCUUUUUUCAAUUAUUUUUCAACAAUCACUUUCUCACCUACUUUAUUUUGUUGGUUUUCAUGGAUUAAAUUUAUUUUUCAACAAUAAUUUUCUCACUUACUCAGUUUUGUUGGUUUUCAUGGAUUGGAUUCUGUAUCAAAUUAUGCCCCAUGCAAUGCAAUUAGAUUUUAUGACCAAACAAACAAAAGAAAGGGUUAAUGAUUCUAAAUCUCUUGGUUUUUUUUUUUUUCCUCCAUUGAUUCAUCCUACCACUUGAAAGAAGUAAAUUUUUAGAUUAUAUUAGCUGAUAUGCUGCGCAGCAUCUUAAUUACUUUGGGAGCAAUAUAUCGCUCCAUGAAAAUGAAAAUAAAAGAGAACAAAUGGUUGAUGGAUCAAUUUGGAAAUAAAAAUUCUGCAGAUGGAAGAAAUUAUUCAGUGUUCAUGCAUAUAUUAAGAAUAUACGUUACAUGUAUUAGAUUAAGGGCAUAGUAUAUAUUUUUAUCAUUAAUCUAUCUAAUAUUUUCUCAAUUUUUAAAUGAAUCUAUUUAUUUCACUUUUUUCCUUAUAAAUGCAGUUUUUUUUUUUUUUAAUAUGCCAGGGAAACAAAUAAGUAAACAACUUUUGAGCAUAUAAAAAACAAUGGAAAUAAAAAUAAUUAUUUAAGCAUACCUAAUUGGGGAUGGAUCUUCUAAAUUAAACUGUGUGGACUCUUUACAUCACCAACUCCAGAUAUCAUUAGGAAAGGAGAAUUAAGGACCAACCUAAAUAGAAAUUAAAAGAAAAAGGUAAUAAAGAUUAGCAGCAAUAAAAUUAUAAGAACAUUGAAUUAUUUUUUUUUCUUGUUUCUGAAGUUAAAAGCAAAUCAAAAUAGAUAUAGCAUAAAACAAAAUAGAAAAUAGAAAGCAAAGAAAGCAAAAUAUAUAGAUACAGCAACACUAUUUUCUUUCAUUCUAGAGAGAAAAACACAGCAAACAAGAUAAAUAUACCUAGGAAACAUGAAUUCUCAGGAUCCACGCAGUUUUUUUUUUUUUGAGUUCAAAGAAAACUUAAGUAGAAACCAACCUUGUUUCAAAUGAACAAAGAGCUUCAAGUAUCCACCAAUAUUGAUAAGUUGUGCUGGAAAUCCUUGUGACCGAUUGAACCUACAAAGAAAAGUUUGAUCAAAGACUUUUUUAAUUUCUUUUGAUUCUCUUUUAUCAUCAUUAUUACCAUUUUCCUUGUUCAAAUCCUUAGUGUAAGACAACUAGAAAACGGCUUAUAAAAAGAUUUUCUAUUCUUUUAUAAGGUACCAAUUAUUUGAUAAUUGAUAGUUGCAAAUAAAUUAUUCACACAAAUGCAGAAUUCCCUAUCUUAACUCUUUGACCAUUUACCCUUUUAACUAUUUUGUCUGAUAGGAAAAAAAAUUAAGUUAAAGAAAUAGAGAAAUGGAGAGAGAAGAGGUACCUCAAGCUCACCCAUUUCUUUGGGAAAAUCAAAGAAAUUUAAAAAGAAAGGGUAAAAAAAUCAACAACAAUAAAAUUAUAAGUACAUGAAAUUAUGUUUUUCUUUCUUUGGAGCUAAAAGCAAAGCAAAAUAGAUAUAGCAUGAAACAAAAUAAUACAGCACUUUUUUAUCAUUAAAAAUGAAAAAGAAAGUAGAAAGCAAUGAAAGCCAAAAAGAUAUAGCAACAUUAUUUAAGUUAAUGUCUUUAUUAUUCCUCUUACCUGUUUAAGUUAAUACUUUUUAUGAAAUUUUGAAUUUUAAAAAUAUCAAAUUUUUUACGUUUUUUAUCCUUAAAAGUAUUUCUUAGCCAUUUAUCUUAACUAUUUACUGGAAAAUAAUUAAUUUAAAUUUUAUGUUGCCUACUUUAUUCUUAUUUUCAUUUAUCAUUUUUAAGGUGUUAUAACACUUUUAAUUCAUUUUACGUCAAAUGAUAUUAAUAUUAUCAUCUUUUUUAUUUGUUUAUGUUAUUAAGUUUUUUUAAAGAAGUUUGUUUUUAUUUUCAAAUAUUAAUUUUUUACAUUUUCUUUUUUAGACCUUAAAAUAUUUUUUAGCGAUUAACCUAAAAAUAUUUAUAAAAAAAUAAUUAAUUUAAAUUUUACAUUACCAAUUUAAUUAUAUAUAUUAAAAUAAUAUUGUCUAACAUCUACUCUUAUAUUAUAUUAUGAUUAUAAUUUUUAUAGCCAUUUCUUAAUCCAUUACGAUAUUUUAAACAUAUUUUACAUCAAUAUGAAUUUUAUUACUCUUACAUGUUUAUGUUUAUUCUUUAUCUUUUAUUAUGUUUAAAAUUUUCAUAACUCUUUUUUAUGAUGUUAUGAUACUUCUAAAUCAUUUUAUACUAAUUGAUAUGAAUUUUAUUAUUCUUCUCGUUUAUUUACACUAGUAAUUUUUUGAAAAAAAAAUAUUUCUAACUCCUUUAAACUUAAUUGAUAUCAAUUUUAUCAUUAUUCUCAAAUAUUUAUGUUUAUUCUUACUUUUUAUUACAUUUUAAAUUUUUAUAAAUGUUUAUUUUAAUGUUACGACACUUCUAUUUAAGUUAUUUUUAAAUUUUUAAAAUUUAAAAUUUUUUAAUAUUAAUUUUUUAACAUUAACUUUUUAGCCUUUAAAGUAUUUUUAGCCAUUGGCUUAAAAAAUUUACAAAAAAAAUAAUUAUUAAUUUAAAUUUUACAUUUCAAACUUAAUUAUUUAUGUUAAAAUAAUAAUUUUUACACUUAUUUUUUUCUUAAUUAUUUAUGUUAAAAUAAUAUAUUUUUAUACUUUUUUUCUUAAUUAUUUAUGUUAAAAGAUUUAUAACUUUUUUUUAUAAUACUUAUGACCUAUUUUACAACAAAUUAUACUAAUUUUAUAAUUUUUCACACAUGUUUACAUUAAUAAUUUUUUUGAUAUUUUAUUUUCAAAAAUUAAUUUUUUAACUUUUAAGUAUUUUUUAGUCAUUGCCCAAAAAAAUAUUUACAUGAAUAUAAUUAAUUUAAAUUUUACAUAACAACUUAAUCAUUUAUGUUAAAAAAUAUCUUUUUACGAUUUAUUUUUAUCUUUCUAUCAUAUUUAAAAUUUUUAUAAUUUUAUCUUAAGUUAUUACGUCACUUUUAACCUAUUUUAAACUAACUGCUAUAAAUUUUAUUAUUCUUCUCAAUUAUUUACAUUAAUAAUUUUUUACAAUAAAUUUUAAAAUAUUAACUUUUUAUGUUAUCAUUUUAGCCUUGAAAGUAUUUGUUUAGCCAUUGAUGUUAUAUAUCUAUUAAUUAAAAAAAUAAUUAAUUUAAAUUUUACAUUACUAAUGUAAUUAUUUAUGUUAAAAUAAUAUCUUUCAACACUUAAAUUUUGCUUGGUUAAAAUUAAAGAUAAAAAAAAAUCAUGAGUGAAAAACUAAUUAAUCCAAUAAUUAAAAUUUAUAAUAUAUUUUUUAUUUUAUACUUUAAAUUAAAAAGUUGUAUCCUUACCCCUUUUCAUUUUCUAUAUCAAGUAAAACCUUAUUCUUACCUUUUAUUACUUUAAAAAUUUUCAUAACUUAUUUUUUAAAAUGUUACAAUAUUUUUAAUAAAUUUUAUGUCAAUUCAAACAAAUUUUAUUUUUUCUAGAUCUCACAUCUUUACAUCAAUAUUUUUUUAUUCUUUCAUUUUAAAAAAAUAAUUCUUUUAUAUUUUCCUUGAAAUUAUUUUUAUUUUAAUAUUUUAUUAAUUUAUAUAGAAUCAUAUUUUUUGUUUAAUAGUACUUUUUAGCUAUUUUAAGAGAUACUAAUUAUUUUAAAUUUUUUAAAUAUAUUUUUAUUAUUUUUUAUUUUUAAGUAAAUUCGUAAACAAGUAAGAAAGUGAAAAAUCGAAGACUAAUCGAGGCAAACGAGAAAUGAAGUUGAACAUAGCAAAAAUUACGGAGAAUAAAAUUUAUAUAUAAUGGUUUAUUGAAGCAUACCUCACUUGAGAUGGAUCUUCAAAAGCCGUAUGGAUCAGUAAAGGAAAAUCAAGGACCAGUUUUUUUUUUUUUCUAUUUCCCUGUUAAAAGAACAGAAAAUUAGAAAUCAAUAAAAGCCAAAAAAAAAAAAACGCUUUUUUUAGUUAUAAAAGCAAAGUAAAAAAUCAAGGAAAUUAAAAAAGCACCAAAAUUUUUUUGUUGAGUUAUAAAAAGAAGAGCAAUAAAGCAGAAAUCAAGCAAAGGAUUUGGUACUCUAGCUAGCUGGAAGAUGUGGAGAUAAUGAUAUAAGACGAUGCUUGAUUGCCUCGAUGGAAACUGUUUGAGGAGAGAGCUGUAAGCGAAAGGUAAGGCAGCAAUACAAAAGAAGAAAAGAUAGAAAUAACAAAGAAAUGUGAAGUUUCAAGAUCCAACAACUUUGCUUCAAUUGAAUAAAAAAUUCAACCAUCAAAGAACUUCGCUUCCGAGAAAAGUAAGUUUCACCAAAGACUUCUUCAAUUUCUUUGGAGUCUUUGUUUAUUAUUAUUGUAAUUACUAUUUUUCUUAUUCUAAUCCUUAGUGGAAGGCGAUUAGACUAGGGCCUGAACGUCUCUUUCUCUUCUUCGAAGCUGUACCUUCUUUAAUUUAUCACUAUAUUACGGUUUAAUAUUAAACUGUCAUUGGAUUUUUAAUUUAUUAAUUUUUAAAUAAAAAUAAUAAAAUAAAAAUAUUUUCAUAAUAUUCUAUUAAUAUAAGUGAUAAAUUAUGCAACAUGCGAAACAAGAUUUAAUGCCGAACAAAUUAAAUCUUCAUUUUAAUUAAAAUAAAGAGACAAAUUUCAUAAUUUGAUAUUUAUGGAUAAUUUUAUUAAUUGUUUCAUAAAUUAAAAAAAUCUAAAAAAUUAUUUGAAGAGUUGUAUAAAAAAUAUACAAAAUUUUAUUAAAUACAUUAAUAGUAAAAUUUUUUAAUUUUAUAAACAAAAUAACACAUCUUUUGUAUAUUUAAAAAAUUUAAUUUAAAAAAUAUAUAUUAUCAUUUUAAUUUAAUUUGUAAAAUUAAAAGAUUUUACUAUUAAUUUAUCAAAUAUUUUUUAAAAUAUAAUUUCAAAAUUUUGUGAAAAAAUAUGAAUGAAUUAAUUUUAAAAAUUGAAAUCAACAUCAAAAUAAAAAACAUUAGAAACGUAUUAGUUUUUCUGCAUUGUCAUUACCAUUUUUCUUAUUCAAAUCCUUGUGAAAGACAGCAAGAGAAGGGGCCAAGCAUCGACUUCUUUUCCUAAAUUAUUUAACCAGUAAAUAAAAGUGCAAUGGCACAUGGAUUAGCAACAAAUUGACCGCACAUGCAGGUCACGUGCGCUUUAACGGUCCCUAACAGGUUUGUUAAAGUUUUGUUUGUUUCUUUGUUGGUGUAAUCUUUUUUAGUGUUUCUAAAAAAAAAAAGGUUUUUUCCUUAUCAUUCACGGCGCAAACAGUGGUUUUAUGACGCGAUGCUUUUAAGAGGCAUAAGAUCUCAAUUUUAUUCAUAUUUAAUAAAAAAUUUUAAUUUUUUAUCUGAACGAAAAUAAAAAAUAAAUAUUAUAUUAUAUAAAUAAAAAUAAAUAUAACUUUAAAUUUUUAUAAAAUACGAAUAUGAAAACAAGUAUGGAAAAAAUAAUAUAACACUUGCUUCAUUUUUAUAUUUUAUACUUAUUUAUAUAUAAUUAAUAAAUAAAUUUUUUAUUAAAUAAUAUAAAAUAUUAUUUUAAAUUAAUUAAAAUAAAUAUAUUUUUAUUAAAAAAUAUAUUAAUAGAUAUUUAUUAAAAAUUAUCUAUAAAUACAAAUUAAAAAUAAAAAAAUAUUUUUUUAUUUUUUUAAAGAUUAUAAAAAUAAAAAUUACUCAUAUUUAUUAAAUAUUUAUAAAAAUAAAAUAAAUUUAAAAUUUUAUUAAAUAUAAAUAUGAAAAUAAAUAUAAUAUAUAAAUAUAUAAAUAAAAAUAACAAAUAUUUUUAUCUUUACCUGUAUCCUAGUCUUUCACGUCCCUAAAAAUAAACGAAUGAGAGACAACAACCAAUUACGACUUACGAGGGGAGCAAGAGCUUGUAUUUGGUCUGCAUCGGGGACCACCCCCUCACCCUAACAUAUUCCCUUAUCUUGAAAUCCACAUUUCCACGUUGUUUGAUCUUUAGCUUUAACGAAAUGCCACCCUCAAUUUCAAAUAUUAAACUGUGUAGCAUUAAUUUUGACACUAACUUCUUGUUUCAUUCGAAUCCAAUUUUUAAAUGCCUUUUUAAAUAACUUGAGAGCCGAAUGUCACGCAAUUUUCUUGGAUUCUCUUUUGUUAUAAUUAUUACCCUUUUUUGUUAUUCAAAUUUUAGUGGAAGAGAGCUAGCUAAAGUCUGUUUAUAUUUUUAUAAAAGAGAAUUUGAUUUACGAAAUUUUAAAUUUUAACAGAUAAAAUGAUUUUUGAAUAAGUGUAAAUUUUCAAUAAUAAAUGAUUUUUUAUGUUAUUCAAAUAUUAAUUUUUAUAUUUGGUUCAAAAAAAAUUAAAUUACUUAAUAAAAGAUUUUUAUUAUAAUGAUUUUCUUUACAUGUGAAUAAUCACGUGAUAAUUAUUUUAAUUACUAUUAUAUUAUUAAAAUUAAACAUCUGACAGUUAUUAAACAAUUAAAAUAUAAAAAGGCUUUUAUUUUUAUAUUGUUAAAAAUAAGCUAGUUUAUUAUGAUAAAAAUAUUUUUUUUCAAAAAAAGAAUAUAUAUAUGAUAAAAUAAAAAACAUAAUAUCUAAUUGAAACAAAAUACAAUUAAAAACACAAUCUUUAAUUGAUGUUUAAAAAAAUAAUUUGCAAAAUUAUGUUUCUAAAAGUAUAAACGUAAUCUUUAAUUGAAAAAAAAUUACUACAGAUUACAUUUUUUAAAUUAGAUUAUCUUAACUGAUAUGCAAUGAAACUCCACUAUUUGUAGUAAUUUACCAAAAUUAAAAUCUUAGAGUAAAAUUUUCUAAGAUAAGAAUUGCUUGAUAAUUGAUAGUUGUACACGAAGUUUUCACACAAAGAAGAAUUCCCCAACUCCAAAUCUCAAACCAUUUACUAUUUUUCCUUCCUAAAAUACAUGAACUCACGGUUGGGGAAGGGAUUUUCAUGAAACCAUUGAAAUCGUAAAACCAAUGAAUGGUGAACUAGGUUAAUUCUUUCUUUUCUUAAUUUAUACGAAAUUAAUUUCAAAAAAUUAUUUCAUCCAUUCUAAAUGGAACUCUGUUCUUUGCAAAGACAGAGACAGUUCUACUUAUGGUAGUUUGCUACUAAGCUAACUCCAUGAUUAACUAAUUAAAUAUUAAUUAUAGCCAUAUCUGCAUGCUUCAAACUUAAUUAGAACAAGACGAGGAAAACAAUUUCAUCAACACAAAUUGAAAUUUAAUUAUUUCUAAUUACUUCUAAUGAGAUUGAGAUAUGUGCUAUAUAAAUAUUCUCAUAUUAUCUAUGAAAACUAAUUUAAAGUAUCAAUUCCAAUUAUUUAAAUAAAAAAUUCUUUCAUAAAUUCUCUUUUAUCUAAUUUUUGAGCAUACACCUGAAAUCUUUGAAUUUGAGGUGCAAAAUUUGUGAACAGUUCUUUGAAGUAAAUCUUCUAAUGUUCGUUAAAUUAGAAAGAUGAAAGAAUUAGUGAAAAACAUACAAGGGCCCAAUCAUCCUUCUCUUAUGGAGUUUCGCUUCACUUUUCUUUUCUUUUUUUUCCUAAAUUAUUCAACCAAUAAAUAACAGUGUAAUAGAAAGAGGAAUGCAUGGGUCUUAAAAGAUGUAAAUUAGAUUUGAUAAUUUAUGUAUUUGUAUUAUAUAAAAUAUUAAUAUCAAUAUAUUUAUAUAAUAUUUUACAUAAAAAUUAUAUAUUAUAAUUCAUGUCAGAUAUGAAAAUAUAAAAUAUAUAUUUUUUAAUUUUAUUAAAUUCAUUUGUGGUUUUUGUUAAGAUUUUGAACUGUCUUAUUUUUUAUAUCUAUUACUCGUAUCAUUUUAUAUUAUAUUAUUAUAUUAUAUUUUAAAUUAUUAAGUUUAAUAAACUUUAAUUUCUUUUGACUUAUUUUUUAUAAUUAUUUUAUUUUUUAUGCUUUUUUAUUCAUAAUUCUGUUCUUAUUCAAGGGAUUAGAUUCUAUACCAAAUUAUGCCCCAUGAGAUGCAAGAUUUAAUGACUAAACAAAGAAAGAGUUCAUGAAUCAAAAUCUUUUUUUUCUCCUUCCUUUAUUUAUCCUAACAUAUAUAUAUAUAUAAACCCUAAAAUUUCAGUAGCAUACAACAAAAUUUUUAUAUCAUAAUAAAUUUAGUACUUAAAUUUUUUAAAACUAAAAAUUUUAUAUUUACUUUUUUAAUAUUGAAUUGGUUCAAUUUGUCAAUGAGUACUUCAAUUAAAGUACGAAAACAUUUCAUGCAAUUCUUGUGCAUAUUAUCUUUAGCAUAUUUGGAAGUUUAUUUAGACUCUAAAAUAUUUUGAUAAAAGACUGAAAAUCUGAACAUCUAUGAGUUUUCAUUUUUUUUAUUAAUAUAUGUUUUAUGUAUGCUUGUUGCAGGACUCUCCUUUUGAUUGAAGUUGUUGAAAAUGCUGUGAAAAUGUCUACUCUUUUCACUUUUCUUACCAGUAAUUUAUGGAAUUUUAUUUAUUAUCAUUAGAAAUUUUUGUUUCAAUGGUUUUUUAUUUCUCUUGGAUUUCCUCUAUGUUACUGUCAUUGUGCAUGUAUUGCAUGUUUACAAUUUGUUAUUAUUAUUGAAUAAAGGUUCUUUUUUAUUAUUAUUAUUUUGUAAUUAUGAUUUAGUUUUGUUAGUAAAUUAAUGUGUAGCUUGUCUCAUAGAUUGCAUUGCAUGCAUGAGGUGAGUUUCUCUGUUUCAGUUGUAUAGAAAAUAUUGCAUGAAGCUUUAUUAUUAUUAAUUUUAUAUGAAAUCAGUGUUCAUAAAUCCCAGAAAAGAAACAUGUUAAUGGGGGGGUUAUCUUUAGUCUUCAAUGAAUCCAAGGCUGGGGGGAGAUCUAUACCGUGUUAUUUUUAUCAAAAUAUGCCGUUUUAGUCGCUGAAAGUUUGAAUUGUUGGAACAAUUUUCAGAUUUUUUAUGGAAAUUCGAAGUGAUUCUUUCAUUGUUGGGAAAAAAAUUAGAGGCUAUUUUUUUUUCAUAGGAACACAAACAGAUAGAUUUGUAUUGAAAUAUGUUCAGCCAUGAUUUCUUGGUUUUUAUUCCUAUUGUAAUUAGCUAAUUCAACCUGUUGGCCAUGAUUUUGGGUCAUGUUGCUUUGCUGGAUUUAUACAUGUUGAAUGAGUAUUAUUGAUGUCCACAUUACCUAUGUUUGAUAAGAAACAUGAUUGUGACUGCCCCAUUUUCUCCUGCAAUAGCUCGAUAGCUUCACUAAAUAAGAUACAUGAUUGUUGGCUGGGAUAUUCCUAAAGAGGAUGGGUGUUCAACAUGGCCUUAAUGACCUGCAGUGGUGUUGAGAAGGCAACAUUCUUGCUUGAUGAUUUAUGAAGUUGAAUAUUUGCCUUUUGACAUGUUUGUUAAACACGGUUGUGCUUUGUACCAGCUUGGUUGUAUAGGCUAUAAUGUACCUGCCCUUUUGUCUUCCAGGAAAGAAACAGUAUUAAGAUCUGUGGAAAAAGCAAUUUCUUUGCUGCAAAUUUGUGAUGGAUCAAGACAAUGACCAAGAGAAUAAAUCUGAUGCAUCAGCAGAUGUUCCGCUGAAACGCAGACGUGGUCGCCCGAGGAAACAUCCGAAAUAUAAUCUAAAAUAGGGGGAGAAUCCAAAUCUGAACUGUGCAGGGAAUACCCGUAUCCGACCUGGAUUUGAAGGGGUGAACGGAAAUCAACCCCGUCAAGCAAAUUCAAUCAAUGAUGCAAAUGAUAUAAUGGUGGGUCAUUCUGUUUAUAGUAUUAUUGAGGCAGCAUUUGUUGCAGGAUAUUUGCUCACUGUUAGCGUUGGUAACUCUGACACCACUUUAAGGGGUGUGGUUUUCAAGCCUGGCCAUUUUGUUCUUGUUUCAGCUGAGAAUGAUGUGGCACCAAAUGUUCAAAUGAUCAGAAGAAAUGAGAUUUCCUUCCCAAGGGAGAGGAAUGAGCAGCAUGUCAAUUCUCAUAGAAAUGGAUCUGCUCAUUCAUUCAAUGAACCGGUUGUUGUCAACCAGGUGCCUCCAGCCUGGUUUUCAAACCUUGAAGGCUCAAAAAGCAAACAUGUGCAGUCGGUGUCAACACAAUCUGCUUCUCCACUAAUGACCAGAGGCAUUGUGGUGCCCGUUGUGCUCCAAACUGCUAAUUUAUCAAACCGCGAAUCAGUUUCCAACCAACCAUCUCUGGUUGCAAGCCGACCAGCUCAUUUGGUGGCCUCUAAAGGCAAACAAGUGUCUGAAGCUGCUGAUACAUCAAAUGAGGGAAAACCCACCAACCAGAUGCCAACAGUUAGAAAUCAAAUAUUUCCUACUCAAUCUCUAAGUAGUAACCACAGCAUGCCAAAAGGCAUACAAAGUGAAACUGUUUCAUAUAAUCAACCCGCAACAGAGUUUUUUCUGGAGACAGAAGCCAUGUCAAUGACUGGCAUGCCUUUUGAAAAACUAUUAACUGUAGUCAUGAAAAGAACUCAAGUACCCCCACAACCAUCGGAGGCUCAAGGUGGUAAUUUGUUGGUCAAAGAUUCUGGACACAACCUGGAAGAUGAUCAGCCACUCUCUAUUGAACCAAUGCAAGCUGUACAGCCUGCUCAUUCUUCUUCUGUGCUCAAACAUUUGGAAAAUUUUCGAACUGAAAAGAUGACUGAGCUGCUGAAGGUAUAAUAAUUUUGAACUAGAAUUUUAUUUCCAUUUGACUAAUCUAUUAUGCCCUGAGGUUUGACAUAGACUGAUACACUGCACUCCUCUUCAAGGCUGUUCGGAAAACAAGAGGGAAACUCAAGCAUCUCGCACUGAAGAGCUAGCCGUUAGAUUUGGAGAAACUUAGCAUGGAGAUAAAGAAAUGCAUGAUUCCAAUAAGCAUUCACAGGUUUCGAGGGUCUAAUUCAGCAGGCAUUUUACUAGCAGGUUCUGGACUAGCUCACAUUUUGUAGAGUGUUUUAGUUGAAUCAGAUAGAUUCUGUAAAAUGUUUUAGAUCCUAAACUAGGCGAAGGAGCUAAAUGAUCCCUGGACGGUUAUGACCUUAAAGCACAAAAUGCUGCACGGGAUCUUCUAUCCUUUAACCUGAGGAUCAAAACUGAUACCAUUACUUGGAAUUAAAGAUUUUAUUUUUGUCACUUCACAGAUUUAUAGAAAAUCUAUCUUCAUUUUACUUUAUGCUUUGUCAUCAUUUAGAGUCCAUUUAGGAGUCCGACUGGAGGGCUCCCCAUAGCGCAUUUUAUGGUUGGACACUUAGUAAACGGCCCUUAUUAAAUAUAUGCGGCUUCCUUAUAUUAAGAUCAUCUAAGCAUUGAGCACGGGACUUGUGAUGUGGUCAAUUAAGUGGAAACUAAAUGUCUUGAAUAGAAUACAAAAUCAUCAGUGGCUAUGGAGAACGUUUGCAAAUGAUUAUGAUGUCAAAAUCAUGAUGGGGGGUUUUUCCCGAACCGUGUUUGUUUCAGAACUCAGGUUAACUCUUGCACUGGGUUAAACCUUGCUAUAGAUUAGCCUCCAUUCUUCUACCAAUUCAUCAUUGAGAGUCUUACCUAGCUGUCACCGCCUCGACAGCCUCUUCAUGAAGUACAAAUCUUCAGUAGAACGUUUAUUGAUUAAUUGAUUGUAGAUUUGAAUACGAAGUUUAGUUUAAUUGGUUUAUGUAAUCGUUUUUAAAAAAUAACAUUCAACAAGUCUAAAAUUCGAAUAUUAAGCUAUUAGCACUUAUAACUUCUAUUCUUAAAUUGUGAUCUUAUUCAAUAAAUAAAUUUAUGAUUUGAGUUAAUUCUUCAUUCGUAAAGAACCUUAAGUUUUUUGGUUGUCAAAAUUACAUAAAUUAGUUACCUUAUAAGGCUAUGCUGCUCUAUCUAUUGUAUCAAUAACCAAAUUGAUGAAAAAAAUAACAUACAAGCCAAUUUCACUUGCAUUGUUGAAUCGCUUUAUGAUAGUUUAAAACUCUUAUAAUAUUGCUAAUGAUCUUAUCUUGGUUGCAAGAGGAGGUUCUUGAAAUAUUCAAAUCUCAAAGUUCAAGUUCUAUUAUUCUUAGAUUUGAUCUAAUUGUAUAUUCGAUUUGUUUAGUUUUAUGUUGAUUCACUAAUUUAUUAUAAUAAUUAUUAUUGAAAAUGAAAGAAUUUGAAUCCCAUGUACCAUUCCUUGAGUUAUGUGCUCUCAAUUCGUAUAUAUUUGAUAAUUUAUGUAUUCAUAUCAUGUAAAAAAUUGAUAUUUUGUAUAUUUGUAUCAUAUUUACGUAAAAAUUAUAUAUCAUAAUUCAUGCCAACAUUAAAAAUAUAAAAUAUAUUUUUUUAUUUUUGUUAAAGCAUAUAUAAUUUUUGUUAAAAUUUUAGUCAAUAUCACUUUUGUUUUUUUGUUUUCCAAUAUAGAUCCAAAUUAAUUAUUCGAACAAAAUAUCGAACCUAUAUAUAAGCAAAUAUUCCUUUAUCAUCGAAUUAAACCUAAGUAAGGUAAAUAACUUUCUUUUAAUUUCUGUCUAAAAAUUUUCUUUUAACUUCAUCAAUAACCUUAAACAUGGGUUUUCAUUUGUACCUAUACAAUUUGUGGUUUCUGAGUUUCUUUUAUCAUUAAACCAACAUGUGUUUGAUUUGGGUUAUAUUUUUACUUUUCCUUUGUAAAUGUCAUGAAUUCAUCAUCAUUAUUGCAUGAUAUCUUUUGGUAUUAUUGUUGGGGCUGCUUCUACAAAAUUUGCCACAACUUAAAACAAAAAAUCUCCACAAAGUAUAUUGUAGGUAAAUUUGUGGUAUAAUUAACUUCAAAUUCAAUUUAAUUCAUUAUAUUUUUAGAUACUGAUAUGGGUCUUGACACAUUUUGAACACUUUAAUGUUCAUAUUUGUAGGAUACUUUGAUUUUUAAAUUUAAUAUAAAAGAUUAUCAAAAACAAAAUUUAUUCAUGUUCGAUGUCCUAUCACACAAGUUCAUAUAACAUAAUGUAUAAAUAGUAUACCACUGAAUUAAUUAUUAAAUCACCACAACAAAAACAAGCAUGGAAGACCAUCUAUGACAUGCAAGUAGACAAAAAUAUGUACUACUCAUCCAUACAAGCUGCUAUAGGGAACUAAUAAGGAACCAGCAAACCAAUCUAAACAUAAAAAACCAUGUUUCUUAAGAGUACAUGAAUUUUGCCAACAAUCCCUAGGCCAGGAUAUAAGAAAAGGAUUUAUGAGACCUGUAAGCUUAAGUUCGAGUUCAAAUAUAAAAAAAAAAAAAGCCGUGACAUUUGUCUUAAAUGAAUGGCUAAACAUGGCUUUAUUUUACAAUAUCAAACAAGUAAAUGCAAUGCAACAUAGGGUAAACUAGUCCUACACUGCAAAGUAAAGCUCAAAAAGUAGAGAAAGUAGAGAUCCAAUCAAUUGACAGCAUCAUAAAACAAAAAGCUCAAACGAUGAUAAGCACAAUUAAAUAUCAACCACAUAUCAUUUGAGGCAAAAAAUUGAUAAGAAUUUAAAUAAGAAAAUUGAUUAAGGAAAUUAUAAAUAUAUGGAUAGAGGCGGAUUCAAGAUUUUUGUUGGGAAGUAUUUACUUAUAAUAUAUAAAAUACUAUUGACAGAUUUAUCAAUUUUAUCCAUGAAAAAGGUGUUAAGAAGAAAGUUUUGGAUGUUCAUGAAAAUUUUUUCUUUAAAUUUUUUUUAUUUUCUAAAUUUUAAGAGUUUCCAGAAAAAAAUUUAAGGGUAUCAACACAAAGUUUUCCUUAAAUUUUUUUUUAAAUGGACACACCGCAAUACCAUGUAAAUCCGCCUCUGUACAUGGAAAAAUGCAUAACCCCUCCAAUUCCUUCAACUUGUCCUCAAAUUCAUCAACUUCUGUUAAUUGGUUCCUAUCAAGCCAUUUAACAGUCUCAUUAAUGGCCUUCUUGAUCUUCUGCUUGUCUGCCGGGUCAAGUUUUCCAACAAACUAAUCAUCUUUCACGGUUUUCCUCGUAUUGUAUGCGUAGUUCUCGAGGGCAUUCUUGGCCUCCAGCUUUUUCACAUCCUCAUCCUCUACCUUGUAUCUCUCUGCCUCUUACACCAUUAUUUACUUUGUCAUUCCAAAAAAAAAAAAGAAAUCUUGCUUUGACAAUUGAAACCUCAAUGUUGACAAAGUUAUCAACAAAAAGGAAUCAAUAUUUUAAAAGUAAUUUGUUAUUCAGUAUAUCAAAUUUGUUCUCCAUCUAUUUUUAUAGACCAUGAAAAGCAAUGGGAAAGUACCACUAGGCAAUCUUCCAUGGUGAAAUUACGAGACAAUUUUCAUGUAUGAUGCUAAAAGUUAUCGAGCAGGAAAAGGGCAAUUCUUUCUUCUUUUUAUUGGUAGGUAUAAUAAAACAUUUCCCAUUUGUAAGCUACGAAUGCAUUAUUGUUACUAAACUUGGUAACAAAAACUCAUUUCACAAAGGUGAUAAGUUGCUUUUCAACCAUUCUUAAAAAGUUUUGAACUCUACAUAGUUCCAAUCUGAAUAUUUAUACACAAACUGAAUCAACAAAGAAACUUAACAUUGUUAUCAUCUUAUUGCGCGCUUUAUAUUCUCAUAUUUACUUCUGACAGGUCAUAACCAUCUAAAAGUUAAGGGUCCAGCCAGUCGAGUUUACUCAUAACUUGAUGAUGCCUCCAUGGAGUUCCAAGAAGGAAAUAUAGUGCCAGCCGGAAGUCAACAAGAAAAAAUUGCACAAAAACUGCCAAAGAGCAUAUUCUAAUAAAUAAGAGGAUAAAGAAUGAUUAUACCUUUCACAUAGCUGAAAGCUUUUACAAAGACCGCAAAACCAUCGCCAUCCGGAUAAUAUAGGUCUAUGGCAACAUAUGCAGACAAACUGCAGGUGGGCAAUGAUAGAGUCAUCCUUAAUAGGUAGAAUAUUUUGGCCCAGCUACCAAAAGAAACAAUGAAAUCAAAUAUUAAGUGACUAUUAUAGUUGCAUAAAAAAGGAUUCAAUAAAAAGAAAUAACUAAACAGAUCUAAAAUAGCAUGUUUUCAUAAUUACAUCUACCGCAUGUAAUUUCUUUGUCUAAUUCCAGUGUGCUUAAAGGAAUAGUCAAAAAAAUAAAGCUCCUUCCAUAGCAUGAAGGGAAUCGGCCAAAGAAUGUGUCAAGAUGAGCUGACAAAAUAUCAACUAAUUGGUUCGUGAUGGUGGCAGUUAAGGGUCAAAAAACUAUAUGAAAGAGUGUAAAAUUUGGCAUGUCUCCUUCUGAAUGGGUAUCUACACCCCCACCUCAAACACACCAAAAAAAGAAAAGUUAAACUGCAAAAUUUAAUCCAUUUCUCGGCGCAAAUAAUACCGACUACAAAAACUGAAAGAAAGUGAUCUAUCAAAUUCAUUCAUGCUUAGGCUUGAACAUUUAACUAUAAAAGCUACAGCUAACUCCACAAGGUUCAUCAAUUUAUCCAUGGUUUUAAAAUAAAAUAUUUUUAAAGACCAUGGUUUUUAAAACUCAGAAGCAACAACGAUAGAAAAAAUAAAUCUAAAUGGACGGAAACUCAUCUGCUAUGUUUUCAUUGAAGCAUUUCAUUGAACAAAUAACAAGCAUCAUAUAAAAUGCCUUAAUUUGAUGUGACCAAAAAUUGCAGAAACGAUGCAAAGUACCAACAGCAAAAACUAAAGAUCUAUUCAAUACCAGUGAAUCAGUUACUAUUAUAAAAAAUUGAACAUUAUUAGUAAAUGGAAAAAAAAAGACUAACGACUUAAAGUAAUGGCCAGAGGAUUACAGAGCAUGGCACGAAAAUGUGAGAAUAUACAGUCAUUUAUCUAUUCAAUACCUUGAAGUAAUUCUCCACAAAAGUGGGAUCCCCAAGAGUUGAAUGCUGCUUACAAUCUCUUACAAUUGGACAGCUUGUGUUUUAAAUUUUUUGCAAUUCUGUUUCUCUUUGAAGACUUCUUUAAAAACAAUAUUACAUUUCAUUAGAUCUGUAAGCAAUACUAAAUUACCACCUGCAAUUACAAUCCCAACUCUCCCAACCCUCACAUGCCACACCCAUCCUUUAUUUUUUUCUGUCAUUUUCCUUUAGACAAAGAAAAGAAACAAGACCAAGUCAAACGUAUUACCUAUAUACUUUACAGCUUGAUUACAAAGGUUCCAACUAAUGGUAGAAAAUUUUUUUUCUAAACAGAAUUAUAAUUAGUAUAUAUGCAUCAAAUACUCUGAAUAUCAUUUAAGGCUUGCUAACAGUAAAUUAAUCAAAAACUUUGGGAUUAAGAUCAAAUUUGUCUCCACAUUUUGAUUUAAUAUUAAAAUUUGUCAUUAUACUAUCAAUUCGUUGAUUUUUGGACAACAUCCUCUUUAAUUUCUUCAGUUUGCCUGAUGGCUUCAUUGACAUCAUGUUGCAAACGACCUUGUACCACUGUCUCUUACCUGAGGUCUUUAACAUAACUGGCAAAACAGAAAACAUAACUAAGAUGAGGAAUUGCAUGCUGGUGCCACCAGAAGCAGGGGCGGAUCCAUGCUUUGAAACAGGGUGUCCAUGGAUUGGAAAACAAGAUUGUUUGACAGAAAAACUUUUCUUGCACACCUCCAAAAUUUUCUGUUGCCACCUUUUCAAUCAGCAAAAUUGAUAAAUCCGUCAUUUAUAUAUAUAUAUAUAUAUAUAUUUAUUUAUAAGUGGACGCUCCCAAUAAAAAAAAAAUUUGGAUUAGCGACAAAUGUCACAGAUAGACCAAAAUUAGCCAUGCCUGAGAAUCGAAAUUUAAAAGACAUUCUGAAUUAGUACAUGGAAUGUCAUUGACAAAUUAAUAAUGAAGGAGAACCUCUGAAACUUCGCUGAGCACCUGAACUCUUAGCAAUUCCUAUCUGAAACUGCCCACAACGGGUGAACAAGUCACGGAUAAAUCAGCUUGAUAUCUAGGAAGGGAAAGAAAACAGAGCCUUCAUAUUUAAUCACUAUUUCUGUAUCUGCAAAAGAAUUAAGACAGAAGCAUGUAGUUAGACAAAAUCAUAGUUUUUACAGAAAGCUCAAUUAAGAUAGAACCAUAGCUUUUUUAGCAAGCUCUCAGCAAAAUCACUUCUUCCCUAGUUCCUACAUGUUGUUAUCCUUUGACCACAACUUGCAAUUAAUGUCCUUAUUACAAAACCUUUUGAAUUUUAAAAUGGAAAAUAUAGGGAAAAAGAUUUUCUCAAAAAUGAUAUAAAGAAAUCAACAUCUGCUCUUUGCACAAACAAUAAGUAAUCUGAAAAGAGGAAGCAAAAUUUUGGAGUAUCCUCCGAGUCUUUGUCUAUUUUGUGAGCUUUAACAGCCUUUACCGCCAAUAAAAUAGUUACAUAUGGAUCCAUUCACUGAUUAAUGAGAAACAAACUAAUUUUCAGAUUCUAGUGGAGAUACGUUAGCCAAAAUUAACACAUAAGUCAUAUUAUGAGAUAAGCAAUACUGAUGUUGAUCAUAGCAAUGCUUUGUUUCAUGUUGGAGAGGUUUCAUUUCUCUUUCAAAAUCCGUGGCGUCACAUGCACAAAAUACAUAGUUCCUUUCUCUGUCCAGAUUAAUGCUAGUCAACACUGCUUUGGUAUGUUCUCCACACCCUCAAGAUUUACAAAAAUCUGCUUUGUCAGCCAUGGUUACAUUCAUCCAUCCUGCCUCGGUUAGCGUAUACUUGAAUGAGCAACUUCAUUCAGGACUUUUUUUUCUUCUAAUUAUUGUAGAAACUCUUGCCAACGAGGGUAUGAGGCGGAUGUAUAGAACAGUAUUCCACCUUCAACUUCCAUGCUUGAACACUAUUCAAUUAUGGUAACAAAGUCAAAGCUAUACACAAUCUGUUUAAAAAAAUGCACUUGAUUGGGAGUCUGCAUUUAUCAAUAUACCAAUAUCCUUGAUGCCCCACAAUUUAUUAGACUAUAGAGAAAAUGUCAUAAUUAACAUAAGAAAUGACAUAAGUAAACACGAAUGCAACCAACAUUGUUCAUUUAUUUAUUUAUUUUUGUUUUUGCAAACUUUUCUUUUUUUUUUUGUUUCCAAAAAUAGAAAUAAGGGAAUAACUAUUAAAUAUCAAUUAAACCACUAAAUUAAAACUUAGGAUAACACAUAAUUCAUUUUUGGUUUGACUCUAAAAAAAAAAUUCUCUAUUGGUAUCAUUAAGCUGUUACAACAUGCAGGUUCAAGAACCAGACCAGUUAGACAAAAUUUUAAAAUUAAAACAAGAAGUCAUUAUUAAUCUUUUUGGAUUACGUAUGAUUAGUCACCUUAAAAGUUUUUUUUAAUAAAAAUUUUAAUUUGAUUAAAACUUAUUAAAAAGAUAUUUUUUUGGCAUGCGAAAUCACAACUAGGUUUAUGAAUAUGGUUAUGUGUGGGGAAGGAUUAACAUCCCACAGAACCCAUUAGAAAUGGCACUAAUUAAUAACAUGUAAUUCUUUUAUUAUAGAUAAAAAAUGGCCUUAAUUUUAAAAUUGAAAAAUAAUUUCUUAAAUCCCAUUUAUUAUUAUAAAACCCCCCUUUUGUCAAUUUUUUUAGAAUCGCUUUAACAAUUUUAAUUCAAUUAAAAUUUAUUAAAAAAAUAUUUUUUUGUAUGCGAAAACACAUCUAAGUAUAGUUGCAUGUGGAGAAGAAUUAGCAUCCUAUAAUACCCACUAAAAAAUGUACCAAUUAAUAACAUGUUAUUUUUUAUUAUUGAUAAAAAAAAUGACCUUAAUUUUAAAAUUUAAAAAUAAUUUCCUAAAUCCUAUUUAUUAUCUUAAAACCUUUUUUUCUGCCAUCCUUUUUAGAAUCGCUUUCUUUAGGAAUAAAAUGAAAAAUUUUCGUUUCAAAACAUUUUUAAAUUCCUCAAUAACUAGAUGAAAUUUAGAAAAAUGUUUUUUCGUUUGGGUAUUUUCAUGAUAAUCCUUAAAACCAAAGAUAAUAUUUUUGGGUAAAGAAUAAUUGUUGAGAAUUUCUCCCAUAUCUAAAUAGGGUCUUAGGAAAUAUUUUACUUAGGAUAUUAUCUUAUUUUAUUUCUAAAAAAUAAGUUUUUUUUCAAAAUCAUCUUUUACUACUUUAUAUAUUUUUUGAGAAUAGUAAAACGCAUGUGAUGUAACAUAAGGCAAAUUAAUGAUGCAAAUAUAAACUAAAAGAUACAAAUGAUAAAUUUAAUUUAUCUUAUAAAUCUUUAAUUUUAUCACUUUUUAUUUUCUUCAUUGUUUUUUUUUAAUAUUUAGUGAUAAAAUGAAAAUAUUUAUAUGUUUUUGGAAGUUACCUUUGUGCAUUAUCAACUUUAUAAUAUUUAUAAAUCCGAUAAUAUUAAAAUUUUAAAUUAAUAUCUCAUCAUAUAUGAAUUUAAUUUAAUUUAUAUUAAAUUUAUUAAAUUAUUUGUUGAUUUAUUUGUUUGAUUUAAUUCAAUGAUUUUCUUAUAGGAAUAUAAUACUUUCUUAUACUAUUAAGUUCAUAAAAAAAAAUUAAUAAGUAAAGAAUCUCCUAAAAUUUCCAUUGACAUGCAUUUUUUUUGGAACUCUUGAAUGCUUUGCAACGAGACUAGCUUUUUUGCUUUCUAAUAACUGGAAAAAGUCAUAUAUAAUCUUAACUAGAAAUAAGGAGAAUGAUUUUUUGGCUUUAAUUUGAAAUUUAAAACUAGAAAUUAAAGAUCUCCCCUCCCCAUGACUCAUAUACCAUAAUCACUACUUAUGAUUAGUAUGGUUAAUCGAAUUCUUUCUAAUUAUAUUAAGGAAAAACGAAAAUGAAAAGAAUAUUAAAAAAAGUAUGUAAGCGGUUAGUUGUACAUUAUUGGCCUCAAAUACGAUUGGUUUAUAUUUUGAUUUUUUGUCCAUGGAAAUGCAUUUUUUAUAAUAAAUAAUAAAUAAAUAAAUUUAGUAACCAAAUAAUUCAAAAUUUAAAACUAAAAAAAAUAUUCACAUGGAUGCAAAUGCAUUUUCAUUAAUUAAUUUCAUUUCACACUGUUUAAAAAAUAAUAUUUAAUACACGACUGGAUCAAGAGGUGAGCCUAUGGAUGAAAUAUGGCCAAUCUUCAAUUAAUUAACAAAUCAGAGAAAAUGUACUUAUAUUGCUGACAUCAAUAAAAACUAAAUGAAAAUAUAAUAAAAAAGAGGGCCAAAACCUUUUGUCCUUUUUCAUAAUGAUGCACCUUCCAACAAUAUUUUAUCCCUUGGUCUUUGAGGAAAGUGAUGGCCUUGGAGUACUAUGUUGUCUUCUUCCAAAUGAACCACCCAAAAAUUCCCAUUAAUUAGAUGAAUUAUAAAAAAUCUUAAAGAUCACAGCGGAAUUUAAAAAAUUAUAUAAUGUAAAAGUUGAACUACAUGUUUUGAUUUGGUUUAUAUUUUUAGUUUUCCUUUUUAAAUGUCAUGAAUUCAUUAUCAUUAUUGCAUGAUAUAUAUCUUUUGGUAUUAUUGUUGGGGCUGCUCCUACAAAUUUUGCCAUAACUUAAAACAAAAAAUCUCGAAUGUCUGUAAAUUUGUGGUAUAAUUAACUUUCAAUUCAAUUUGGUUCAUUAUAUUUUAAGAUACUUGAAUGGGCCUUGACACUUUUAAACACUUUAGUGUAUAUAUAUAUAUAUAUAUAGGAUACUUAGAUUUUCAAAAUUAAUAUAAAAAAUUAUCAAAAUAAAAUUUAUUCAUAUUUGAUGUUGUAUAACGCGAGUUCAUAUAACGUAUAUAUAAAAUAACUUAUCAUUGAAUUAAUUAUUAAAUCACCACAAUAAAAACAAGCAUAGAAAACUAUCUAUGACAUGCAAGUAGACAUAACUAUGUAUUACUCAUCCAUUCAAGCUGCUACAAGCAACUAAUAAAGAACCAGCAAACUAAACUGAACACAAAAAAACAUGUUUCUUAAGAGUAAAUGAAUUUUGCCACCAAUCUCUUGGCCAAGUGAUAAGAAGAGGAUUUAUGAGAUAUGCAAGCUUGAGUUCGAGUCCAAAUAUUAAAAAAAAAAUACAUGAAGUUUGUCUUAAAUGAAUGGCUAAAUAUGGCUUUAUUUCACAAUAUCAAACAAGCAAAUGCAAUGCAACAUAGAGUAAAUUACUUCUUCAUUGCAAAGUAAAGCUGAAAAAGCAGAGAUCCAAUCAGUUGACGCACCAUAAAACAGAAAGCUCAAAUAAUGAUGAGCACAAUCAAGUAUCAAUCACCUAUCAUUGAGGCAAAGAAUCAAUAAGAAUUUAAACAAGAAGCUUGAUUAAGGAAAAUCAUAAAUACAUGGACAAUGGUGGAUUCAAGAUUUUUGUCAAAAAGUGUUCACUUAUAAUAUAUAAAAUACUGUCGAUGGGUUUAUUAAUUUUAUCCAUUAAAAUCAUGUUUAGAAGAAAAUUUUGGAUGUUCAUGGAAAAGUUUCCUUUAAAUUUUCUUAUUUUUUUAAUUUUUAGGAGUCUCCAAAAAAAUUUUAUGGGUAUCCAACACAAAAUUUUAUUUAAAUUUUUUUAUUUUUCAAUGGACACCCCACAAUACCAUGUAAAUCCACCACAGUACAUGGAAAAAAAUCCCUAUUUACCUGCUUAGCUAACAAGUUUCUCCUGAAUUUUCACUUCCUUGUGUAACGUUAUCCUUGUUUCUCCCACAGUCAUAUAUUGUGGUACUUGAUCUUCCCAGCUUCUCCAAAUUAUAUCAUUGCAAGUGGUUUGAUUAUCAACUAUUUCUUCCAUUGUGGUGAAACCUUCUGUUGUAUUAUUCUGAACUUGUUGGGGUUCCUUCACAACAAAUUACCCAAAAAAGUGACAUAAAGUACUAAAUUUCCGUUUUCUUGUCACGAGGAUACACAAAAAAUAAAGACAAUUCUUAUUAAGUAAAUAAUGCUAGAAGUAAUUAAUUAAUUAAUUAUGCAUAUGACUUGUGUGUAUAUAAAAGAAUCAUCCAAUUCAUAAUAAUGUGUAGUUAUUUACUAGCAUAACUUUUGUUUCAAUGCAUCAUCAUUUCAUCAUUAGUAUCAAUAUGAUCAAGAACAACAAAUUAAUUAAUUAAGCAUAAUAGUUAGAAAAACAGUCGGUUAGGUACCUCCGUUAUGGCAGGCACUGGAUGUUUUGAAUCCAUGAUGACACUUCUGGUCAACUUGGGAGAUUUGGUUAUUUUAAAAUGAAACAAAGAAGGGAAUCGGAAAUGAUAACCCAUUGGAGCAAAACUCUUUAGGCUUGAUAGCUCAUGAAGAUUCAAAAUUUGUAAUUUAGGGAGCACCAGUCCCUUUUGAUCAUCUUCAAUGUUUAGUUCACCUUGAUACCCGAAGACUUGCUCUAGUUUAGAAGCCCCUUCAAUUUGGAUUCUCUCGAGGUUGGCAAAAGAACGGGCGACACUAAUAGGAAACAAGCUUUUCAAAUUGCUGCACCCAGAAAUAGAUAUAAAUUGAAGAAUAGGGAAGGAUAUAGGUUGGAGAUGACUCUGUGAUGAUGAUGCUAUUGAAGUUUGGUCCAUUUCAAUGAUUUCUUCCAACUCCUCACAACACUUUAUUUUCAAAACUUUCAAUUGCGGCAUAUUUGGAGCAAGCAUAGAAGAGAAGAGAGAUUUCAGCCUUUACAACUUGACACUUUUAAGUCUUUAAGAUAAGGAAGGCUUGCAACUUGGAUGGGACUCUGCAACUGAUGUAUACCCUUUAGAUUUAAAAUCUCUAUCUUUGAGAACAAGUGUCCGCCUUGAAUUUGAAAUAUAUUCUCCCAAUUAAUAGUGUCACACACAUUGUCUUGUCCCAACUCAGAGAAUCGU
rnacentral:lncRNA from 1 species